UGGGCACUUCCUUCAUAGAAAUUUCCAACUUCUCCCCACCUGAAGAAACACUGCCAAAACUGACUGACUCAGUCUUCACAAUUGGUGACUGUUUCAAUGAAAAAAGCUUUUAUCAAUUGAAGCAAGAAUCUGAAUGCUAAAUUGUAUGUCUGUGGAUGAAGCACACUCAAGGUAUACAAAGCUAACAAGUUGCUAGCUGAGUGAAGAAAGCAAACCAAUGCAAAACAGUAAAAUGAAAUCUCAAGGGGCCUCAAGAAAAGCAGGUUUCCCCAGGAGCAGGAAGUUGUAAAAGGAGUCCAACUCAGACUCGUCAGGCUUUUGAACAGUGUUUUUAGGCGACUUGCAAUCUAAUGGUUUUCGACCACUCUCCUUACAUCUCCUACGGGGCUUUGUUGAAG